rnacentral:rRNA from 1 species
GACGAACGCUGGCGGCGUGCUUAACACAUGCAAGUCGAACGAUGAACUUGGAGCUUGCUCUGGGGGAUUAGUGGCGAACGGGUGAGUACACGUGAGCAAUCUGCCCUGGACUCUGGGAUAAGCGUUGGAAACGACGUCUAAUACCGGAUACGAGACGCGAAGGCAUCUUCAGCGUCUGGAAUGAACUUCGGUCCAGGAUGAGCUCGCGGCCUAUCAGGUAGUUGGUGAGGUAACGGCUCACCAAGCCUACGACGGCUAGCCGGCCUGAGAGGGUGACCGGCCACACUGGGACUGAGACACGGCCCAGACUCCUACGGGAGGCAGCAGUGGGGAAUAUUGCACAAUGGGCGCAAGCCUGAUGCAGCAACGCCGCGUGAGGGACGACGGCCUUCGGGUUGUAAACCUCUUUUAGCAGGGAAGAAGCGAAAGUGACGGUACCUGCAGAAAAAGCACCGGCUAACUACGUGCCAGCCGCCGCCGUAACAC